rfam:Loxodonta africana unplaced genomic scaffold scaffold_9, whole genome shotgun sequence.
UUUAAAAGGUGGAUAUUCCUCCUAUGUUUACACGAUUCAUGGUUAAUCAUAGAGGAAAAUCCAUAUUUUCAG